CCAGUUGCUGCCGCUGCAGCGCCACUGCGAGGCGCGCGCCGCCGCCGCCCUUGAUCUGCACAACCUCGUUUCCGUCUAUAUACAUGCUAAGGUAUAUGGGGCUACGCAGCUGCUGGAGUACUGCCAAGGCUUCUUGCUGCAGAACAUGGUAGCCCUGCUGACGUACGACGACUCGGUGAAGCGACUUCUGUUCGGCAAGCGGCUGCCAGGACACAACGUGCUGGGCGCUCUGCUCACUACGCUACAGAAGCGAAUAGAGUCCAGAAAGGGACAGUCAAAGAGUAGGUAGCAAAAGUAGGACUAUCAAAUAUUAGGCAACAAACAGCAGUCAAAGAUUAGGUAAAGAAAGUGAAGUCAAACAAUUAGAAGUCAAAAAAGCUGGACAGAAUAUUUUUAUUUGAUAGAAAAGAGAGAAAUAUUUAAUUGUUAUUUAAAGUCAAACUCCAAAGUUAAUAUCUUUUCCAUUUCUAAGUUGUUCUUGUAGACUUCAAUUACUUUUAUCAUUAGGUAACAUGUAUGUACGUUUGUGUAUUGUAUGUAAAGGAAUUGAAAAGUACUUAUGUAUUAUAUUAUGUAUCAUCGAUAUAUAUAAUGUGUUUAUAUAUUUUUUCUUUUCUGUAACUAAAGACGAUAAACUGAUAGACCUAUGAAUACAGAACUUGAUAUUGUUCAAUUUAUAAUAAUUACAAUGAAUAUUGUUAAAAGUGAUAUCGAAACCUUUACGUAUAUUAAACAAAUUGAUGAUACGCACAAUUGAAAUAAAUUAUUACUCUCUUUGUUGUAGGAUUUAUUCAUUUAGAUGUUCAUAUAUCGGUACUUAUUGUAUGUAAAAAUACUCAGUAAUUGGACUAUGUACAAACCUAACAUCUUUAAAAAAUAAGGCUAAUAUUAUUAUGUUGUAUCGUGUAAAUCAUUUUAUGUUAAGAAACUACAAUAUCAAGACUUAAAAGUUUGUACGAAUAUUUUGUUAUUUUUAAUUAUCUGUCUAUCGUAAAGACUAUUAACUAUGUAAUUAAAAUAUAAUUAUUGUUGAAACAAAA